GAUGAACGCUGGCGGCGUGCCUAAUACAUGCAAGUCGAGCGAACGGACGAGAAGCUUGCUUCUCUGAUGUUAGCGGCGGACGGGUGAGUAACACGUGGAUAACCUACCUAUAAGACUGGGAUAAUUUCGGGAAACCGGAGCUAAUACCGGAUAAUAUUUUGAACCGCAUGGUUCAAAAGUGAAAGGCGGUCUUGCUGUCACUUAUAGAUGGAUCCGCGCUGCAUUAGCUAGUUGGUAAGGUAAAGGCUUACCAAGGCAACGAUGCAUAGCCGACCUGAGAGGGUGAUCGGCCACACUGGAACUGAGACACGGUCCAGACUCCGACGGGAGGCAGCAGUAGGGAAUCUUCCGCAAUGGGCGAAAGCCUGACGGAGCAACGCCGCGUGAGUGAUGAAGGUCUUCGGAUCGUAAAACGCUGUUAUUAGGGAAGAACAUAUGUGUAAGUAACUGUGCACAUCUUGACGGUACCUAAUCAGAAAGCCACGGCUAACUACGUG
rnacentral:rRNA from 1 species